CAUCUUGAUAAUUUUGAAACUUGAAAUCAGUUUUGAUUAUGAAAUUUUGAUGUUUGGAUGUAUUUUGAAAUUUUAUAAUAUAUUAUUUUCAUCAUAAUGAUUUUUAGAGUAAAAACCUUAAUUUAUAUGAAAUUAAUUUAAUUUGAUGGAUUUUUAAAGGAAAAUUUUCGAAAUCAGGGAUCGUGUACCGGUACAGGAUCGUGUACCGGUACGGGUACUGUAGCCGCGGAUAUAUAUCCGGUUACAGAGUUAUUGUUCUCUCUCAAAUCUGAACCAAACUUCAUUUUCUCUCUCUCUAAAAAUCCCUGGUGCCUUCCUCUUGCUGAUCUACACGUUUUCCCUCAGAUAUUUGUGAGUAUUUAGCUUGGAUUUAAUCGUUUCAUCGCGUUCAUGUUUAUUUUUCGAAAAUAUUUCGAGUUGAAGCUAGAUCUCUGUUUUUUAUCGUU
rnacentral:lncRNA from 1 species